UGGAGGUCCACCAGUGAGAAACUACCCUGGCCUCAUUCUGAAAGACCCUUAUCAAAUCCUGUUAAUUGCCAACACCGCUGUGAAGUGUCGAAAACUGACUACCUGCCCAUGUUUCUCACUGUAAUGGCUCUCCGACUGAUGAUCGGUCUAUCCUUCCUUCUGGCGUUGUUGCUCCUUCUAAACAGCAGGAGUGAAGGACAAGGUAAAAAUGUGGCAACCUUUCCUUUGUCGGCUGACAGACCCACUGAGCCUUUGAAUCUUGCUGAGAAAACAACCUCUCCACCUAAGGACAUAAUAAAGCCUCCAAGCAGGCAAGGUGAUUGUACUAGUAACCUCUCCCUUGCCGCCUCACUGCCGGACAGCUAAGUGAAUUAAGACUACGAAAUCUCGAAGAAUAGCUUGCGGAAGCUAGCCAAAACUACCUGAAAAUGAAACUUGUUAAAGACACCCUGCCUGAACCUGCGGAUACUUCAUGCCACCUGUUGCAGCCAGGAGAUUGGGUCUACCUUAAAGUGCACCAACGGAAAUCCUCCCUGGCACCUCGGUGGAAGGGCCCUCACCAGGUGCUGUUGGUUACUCACAUGGCAGUCAAGUACCAGGGAUUCCCACGUUGGGUCCAUGCCUCUCACUGUAAAAAGGUUACCCCACCUCUGGAUCCCACUACGGCACCCUUCGUUCCUAAGGUUCAAAAUCAAGUCGCUAAAAAGGACUAUAAUCCAGUAGGACAUUCUUUAACACCUAAGCCCCAGGACGAGGAGCCAAGAUAUAAUCUCAGGAAAAGACUUUAACGGAGAACUAGGAAAAGACUUAUUUCCAAUCUGUUAAGAGACUCAUUGCAAUGGCUGAUCCAAGAGCAAAAAUCAAAGAAUCAGCCAUGGUGCGAAAGUGGCUUAUGCCGUCCCUUUGGUUUAUUUGUGUAACUAUGUUUUUUUAUUGCUUUUGAAUCUUCAUGAUACCCUUAUGUUUUUUUGGAUGUCAGGGAAAGUUAAUGCACCCGUUACCCCGAUCCCUAUAACAUCUUUAAGUCCCCCCUUACGGAAGACCGAACCGAUCUUGUACAAAACAAAACCAACCCCACCCACAAAGCCAUGUCCAGCCCCAGUAAAGAAAAGGAUAGCGCGGUCGGCUGAGGUGAGGAAGGGAAUUACACCUUUGACCAUGAAAGAUAUAGAGAAUUGGCCCUGGUAUAAAGGACGCAAUAUAGUCCACUGGCAGGGGGGAACAUGUGGAAUAUAUUCUUGGGAAUGUGGUACCGAAUGGCUGGCAGGAUUUAUCCCACAAGCUGCACAUUGUACUAAGGGCCAAGUACCAUACCCAUGUCAAACUAUUCCCUACUUGUUAUCGGAACCUAAUCCUUCCUUUUUAACAGCCCCAACAAGACAAAUUGUUCCUACCCUCCAUCCCCGCCCCCACCAAGAACACAACAUGACCUUUGACGAUUUUACAUGGCCUAGGCCCUCUUCUAUUAGCAAUUUAUUUUCUUAUUGUUCAACCAAAUUAGUUUUUUGCUCAAGGCCACCUUUACCAGCGGGUAAUGGAGUGGGAACCUUUGGGAACUGUACGUGUUCAUUCUAUUAACGUUUCUGUUUAUUAUACUACCACACCCACAAAAACCGUUUCCUUUAUGCAACAGUGGGGAAAGGAUACAGAUGCAAUGUUAUUCCCUGGCCUGUGUCAAACCCUUAAUACCCAGGGUACCUUUUGUUUCCUAAUCACCCAGGUGACAGUAGAUGCUGUAACCACCCAUAGACGAUGUUCCACGCAAACCAAAUUUUUGUGCAAAGAAACUUUCCCUCUCACUGAAAAUAUUAUAUGUACUCUUGUUCAAUUUACCCCUACACAUACUGUUAACGAGACCAUAUCUAAGCAGGGUGUACAAGUCCACCCCCAACAGUUGUGGUAUGAACCUUUGGAAACUAUUGAUCCCGAGGGAUUUAAAUGGACUAUACUUAAUGCCACAUUAGGGACUAUUAGGUUUAUAUUGCUUUUGACUCAUUUUCAAAUUGCCACCAUUUAUCCUAAUUGUACCCGGGGGGUGGCCAUCCCACUAGUAUUAUAACGUGUUUGGAUCCAUAAGUCUAGGAAAAGGAGGGAUCUUCCUAACGCAUUGUGGAAGGGGGCAAAUAGUGUUGCCUCCGCUUGGAGUGUCUAUAAGACCUAUCAACAUGAAAAUAGAUUGGGACAAUUGGAACAAGCAGCGGGUUUUAUUACCGGGGCACAGAUCACUGGGAUCAAGGCCGGGGUUGGAGAACUACAUUUAAUCUCCACCCUUAGUGUCAUCACCCACGACAUGUUAAGCCAAAUGAUCCGGAGCGUUUCUGAAGCUGGGAAGGCAUCGCAGUGGGACCACGCAUGUGCAGAGGUACAAGAAUUCCUUAAUGCCCAAUUAAAUUCUAUUCAAGAAGACCUCAAGCACCAAACUUGGCCCACUGCCCUUACAGAUACUUCGGGCGUGCCACCUGACUUAUGACCAUGGAAACAUACAUGGAGAUUCUCAGGAUGGAAUUGCUUAAGCUCAUAUUGCUCCUUCCAGGCUUAUGGUCCUGUGAAAGGUGUUUGGGCCCCCACUUACCGCAUUCUCCCUGGACCUUGGGGAGGUUGCUUGUGGGACUGGGUAAUCCACCGAGAUGUGUGGGAAGUUAAGCCACCCCACGGCCCCAAUCGGUUUUUGCUCGGUGCCACGGAAAUAAGACCUGAUCUUUGGAUAAGAUUGGGUAAUUUGUGGACUUUAUGGCCUUUAGAACCGCCCCAAUUGCAGUGUAUUCGUAAGCUUAGCCCUGGAGAGAUUAUUACUAUACAUGAGCACAUAUGUUGGGAAGGUAGCGGAAACUUAACGAAUCUCGCUCCCCAGCCCAUUAUCCAAUCCAAUAAUAGUUGCAUAAUAGUUAACUCAUUUCACUUAAGGGAUUCAAUUUUUAAUUUAAUUACUGACUCUGGCACGCAUGCAAUUUAUUGGCCGGCGGAAAAAAAAAAUAUCAACUUUUUUUGUCUUUUAUUAUUCCAGUUAAUUGGACUGCCCUAGUAUAUGAUCGAUUUUCCUCUUUAAUGUCUCUUUUAUCACAAAUUCAACACAUUUUUUAACUACAAGGGCGGAUUUACAUCCUUGAAAACAUAUACAACACUGAACUGCAUGCCUUUCAAACAACUCAUAGAGUUACAACUCUCUGUACAGACACAGAUAUCCUUUGUUUUAUUAUUCAAAUUUUAUACUCCCGGACCCAUAGGUACAUUUUAUGGGGUCUCUUAGGCGGAUUGUUGUUGUGUUUUUGUCUUUGUUUUUGUUGUUUUUGUUGUCCCCGUUUAAUACCCAUUUUUUAUAAACCCUCUCCCCGGGUGACCCUCGUUCCAUUGAGAGAAAUAGAUGUGGACCUUUGCCCCCCUGACUCCCUUCUUAACCUGAAUAUACGCCCCAUUGCUGAAAGUAAUUUUUUAGAGAACCUUCAGGAAAUUGAAGUUAUUAACCUAGACAUUCAGGACCUAAUGCAUAUUCAGGUCUAAAUGGGUUGAUGCCUAUGAAAAUAGGCAUCAAAAAGGAGGGGAUGAUAGGGAAAAUUUGCCCCCCCUGUCCAGCCUAGGUUAUUAUUUGCUUGCAGCAUUUAUAGUAUUAGGCCCAAAGGCCUAUAGUCUAGACAACUGUUAUAUAUAAAGCCAAGGUUUGCAUUUCUGCUUUUAAUAUGUUUAUCUGUACAGAGGGCAUUCAGGGAAAAUGAGGAACCAAAAGAAGGAAAUAAGAUAGGAGUGUUCAGCUUGUUUUUGCUUUCUGUAUGAAUUUUAGCUGGCAUAAGUAACCGCAGAGAAGGGGUCUUAAGACUGGCAGACCACCAACGAAAACUGCCCAAAAACAAUGAAAGGAAAAACCAUAUAUGGAAGAAGAUUGCAGUAGCUUGCUUAUGUUAUAAGUGUUACUCCCAAAUAAGGGAAUUUUAAGAAAAUGCUAAUUUGCGGUUUUAACCUAUAUAAGUGUGAUAAGAAUUGAAACAGGCAGAGGGGAGCUUAACCCUUAUAGGGGAAUACGCUACCUCUCUCCCUGCAUGCAUGCUUGUACUCCAAUAAAGUGCCUCAGGCUGCCUGAUUCUAAA